CACGUAGGGGCCAAGCGUUGGCCGGAUUUAUUGGGCGUAAAGAGCUCGUAGGCGGUUCGGUAAGUCGGGUGUGAAACCUCCAGGCUCAACCUGGAGACGCCACCCGAUACUGCUGUGACUGGAGUCCGGUAGGGGAGCGUGGAAUUCCUGGUGUAGCGGUGAAAUGCGCAGAUAUCAGGAGGAACACCAGCGGCGAAGGCGGCGCUCUGGGCCGGUACUGACGCUGAGGAGCGAAAGCGUGGGUAGCAAACAGG
rnacentral:rRNA from 1 species